CCUACGGGAGGCAGCAGUAGGGAAUCUUUCACAAUGGGCGAAAGCCUGAUGGAGCAACGCCGCGUGCAGGAUGAAGGCCUUCGGGUUGUAAACUUCUUUUAUAAGCGAGAAAUAUGAUGGUAACUGAUGAAUCAGGAUCGGCUAACUACGUGACAGCCGCCGCGGUCAUACGUAGGAUCCGAGCAUUAUCCGGAGUGACUGGGUGUAAAGAGUUGCGUAGGUGGCAUAAUAAGUAGCUAGUGAAAUCUGGUGGCUCAACCAUUCAGACUAUUAGCUAAACUGUUAAGCUCGAGACCGUUAGGGGUAACUGGAAUUUCUAGUGUAGGAGUGAAAUCCGUAGAUAUUAGAAGGAACACCAAUAGCGUAGGCAGGUUACUGGGACGGGUCUGACACUAAGGCACGAAAGCGUAGGGAGCAAACGGGAUUAGAUACCCUUGUAGUC
rnacentral:rRNA from 1 species